rnacentral:rRNA from 1 species
UACAGAGGUGGCAAGCGUUGUUCGGAAUCACUGGGCGUAAAGGGCGCGUAGGUGGCGGCCCAAGUCCAUGGUGAAAGCUCGCCGCUUAACGGCGAGUCGGCCACGGAUACUGGGUUGCUCGAGCACUGUAGGGGCAGAUGGAAUUCCGGGUGUAGCGGUGGAAUGCGUAGAGAUCCGGAAGAACACCAGUGGCGAAGGCGGUCUGCUGGGCAGUAGCUGACACUGAUGCGCGACAGCGUGGGGAGCAAACAGG